rnacentral:rRNA from 1 species
UAGGUGANCUGCGGAGGGAUCAUUACAGAUGUGAAAAACUCCCCAACCCACUGUGAACUGUACCAUAUUCUGCCAUCGGCAGCCUAAACAGCCUGCUCUAAAGGAACCUAAACUCUCUAUUUACGCAAGUCUUCUGAGUAAAAACAAAAUUUAUCAAAACUUUUAGCAACGGAUCUCUUGGCUCUAGCAUCGAUGAAGAACGCAGCAAAAAUGCGAUAAGUAAUGCGAAUUGCAGAUUUUAGUGAGUCAUACGAGCUUUUUGAAGCCAUAUUGGCCCUGCUGGCUAUUCUAGCAGGCAUGCCUGUCCGAACGUCAUUUACAGUACUAGAGGCGCUAAAUGUCUCUCUGUUGGAGGCUGGCCUAGCGGCCACCUCUGAAAUCUAGUGGCGGCGGCGGCUCUUACUCCCCCUGACAAGUAGAUUUUUACUGGCCAUGUGGAAGAUUAGCAGCCCCCCUAAAAACCCAUCUAGUUGACUUCGGAUCAGGUAGGAAUACCCGCUGAACUUAAGCAUAUCAAUAAGCGGAGG